rfam:Clostridium sp. CAG:628 genomic scaffold, scf36
UUAUAUUACCGGAGAAAAUCUCGUCAGGUCGAUAGUUAGGUAGUGAAUAGUUUUAUUUAAGCGUAUCUUAAGUACGCCACCCUAAUUGGUAAAAGCCCUUGCGGGGCUUUUUUCUUUGACCA